UCAACCGAGAUUCCGCAAGUAGUGGCGAGCGAACGCGGAAAAGCCUGUAUAUGAUAAUGGUUAGGAUAGAAGAAGGGAUUGGAAACUUCCGCCAUAGUGGGUGAUAGCCCCGUAUUUGAAAUCUUAACCAUGGUACUAAGUAUACGAGAAGUAGGGCGGGACACGUGAAAUCCUGUCUGAAUAUGGGGGGACCAUCCUCCAAGGCUAAAUACUCAUCAUCGACCGAUAGUGAACCAGUACCGUGAGGGAAAGGCGAAAAGAACCCCGGAAGGGGAGUGAAAUAGAACCUGAAACCUGAUGCAUACAUACAGUGGGAGCAUCUUUGUGGUGUGACUGCGUACCUUUUGUAUAAUGGGUCAACGACUUACAUUCAGUAGCGAGCUUAACCGAGUAGGGGAGGCGUAGGGAAACCGAGUCUUAAUAGGGCGACUAGUUGCUGGGUGUAGACCCGAAACCGAGUGAUCUAUCCAUGGCCAGGAUGAAGGUGCGGUAAAACGCAUUGGAGGUCCGAACCCACGCAUGUUGCAAAAUGCGGGGAUGAGCUGUGGAUAGGGGUGAAAGGCUAAACAAACUCGGAGAUAGCUGGUUCUCCCCGAAAACUAUUUAGGUAGUGCCUCGAGUAUGAGACUGAUGGGGGUAAAGCACUGUUAUGGCUAGGGGGUUAUUGCAACUUACCAACCCAUGGCAAACUAAGAAUACCAUCAAGUUGCUCCUCGGGAGACAGACAUCGGGUGCUAACGUCCGGUGUCAAGAGGGAAACAACCCAGACCGCCAGCUAAGGUCCCAAAUGAUAGAUUAAGUGGUAAACGAAGUGGGAAGGCACAGACAGCCAGGAUGUUGGCUUAGAAGCAGCCAUCAUUUAAAGAAAGCGUAAUAGCUCACUGGUCGAGUCUUUCUGCGCGGAAGAUGUAACGGGGCUAAAAUCUAUAACCGAAGCUGCGGAUAUACUUUUGUAUAUGGUAGGGGAGCGUUCUGUAAGCCUGUGAAGGUGACUUGUAAAGGUUGCUGGAGGUAUCAGAAGUGCGAAUGUUGACAUGAGUAGCGAUAAAGCGGGUGAAAAGCCCGCUCGCCGAAAGCCCAAGGUUUCCUACGCAACGUUCAUCGGCGUAGGGUGAGUCGGCCCCUAAGGCGAGGCAGAAAUGCGUAGUCGAUGGGAAACAGGUUAAUAUUCCUGUACUUUGAUUCAAUGCGAUGUGGGGACGGAGAAGGUUAGGUUAGCAAACUGUUGGAAUAGUUUGUUUAAGCCAGUAGGUGGAAAGAGUAGGCAAAUCCGCUCUUUCUUAACACCGAGACGUGAUGACGAGUGUCUACGGACAUGAAGUGACCAAUACCACGCUUCCAGGAAAAGCCACUAAGCUUCAGUUGAAUCAGAACCGUACCGCAAACCGACACAGGUGGGCAGGAUGAGAAUUCUAAGGCGCUUGAGGGAACUCGGGAGAAGGAACUCGGCAAAUUGAUACCGUAACUUCGGGAGAAGGUAUGCCCUCUAAUGUUAAGGACUUGCUCCGUAAGCAUCUGAGGGUCGCAGAGAAUCGGUGGCUGCGACUGUUUAUUAAAAACACAGCACUCUGCUAACACGAAAGUGGACGUAUAGGGUGUGACGCCUGCCCGGUGCUGGAAGGUUAAUUGAAGAUGUGCAAGCAUCGGAUCGAAGCCCCAGUAAACGGCGGCCGUAACUAUAACGGUCCUAAGGUAGCGAAAUUCCUUGUCGGGUAAGUUCCGACCCGCACGAAUGGCGUAACGAUGGCCACACUGUCUCCUCCCGAGACUCAGCGAAGUUGAAAUGGUUGUGAAGAUGCAAUCUCCCCGCUGCUAGACGGAAAGACCCCGUGAACCUUUACUGUAGCUUUGCAUUGGACUUUGAAGUCACUUGUGUAGGAUAGGUGGGAGGCUUUGAAGCAGAGACGCCAGUCUCUGUGGAGCCGUCCUUGAAAUACCACCCUGGUGACUUUGAGGUUCUAACCCAGACCCGUUAUCCGGGUCGGGGACCGUGCAUGGUAGGCAGUUUGACUGGGGCGGUCUCCUCCCAAAGAGUAACGGAGGAGUUCGAAGGUUACCUAGGUCCGGUCGGAAAUCGGACUGAUAGUGCAAUGGCAAAAGGUAGCUUAACUGCGAGACCGACAAGUCGAGCAGGUGCGAAAGCAGGACAUAGUGAUCCGGUGGUUCUGAAUGGAAGGGCCAUCGCUCAACGGAUAAAAGGUACUCCGGGGAUAACAGGCUGAUUCCGCCCAAGAGUCCAUAUCGACGGCGGAGUUUGGCACCUCGAUGUCGGCUCAUCACAUCCUGGGGCUGUAGUCGGUCCCAAGGGUAUGGCUGUUCGCCAUUUAAAGUGGUACGUGAGCUGGGUUUAAAACGUCGUGAGACAGUUUGGUCCCUAUCUGCAGUGGGCGUUGGAAGUUUGACGGGGGCUGCUCCUAGUACGAGAGGACCGGAGUGGACGAACCUCUGGUGUACCGGUUGUUUCGCCAGAAGCAUAGCCGGGUAGCUAAGUUCGGAAGAGAUAAGCGCUGAAAGCAUCUAAGCGCGAAACUCGCCCAAAGAUGAGACUUCCCUUGUGGUUUAACCAUACUAAAGAGUCGUUCGAGACCAGGACGUUGAUAGGUUGGGUGUGGAAGAGUGGUAACACUUGAAGCUAACCAAUACUAAUUGCUCGUGAGGCUUGACUCU
rnacentral:rRNA from 1 species